AUCCAGUUAUUGAGUCUCAAAUAGGACGAAACGCGCGUCCUGGAU
rfam:Schistosoma rodhaini strain Burundi genome assembly, scaffold: SROB_scaffold0005652